rfam:Sinorhizobium fredii NGR234 plasmid pNGR234b, complete sequence.
CAUUGGUGCCGGGCCCCUCUGGCGAGAGUUUUUUACGGCGCUCUCGUGAUGUCGGUACCGCCAG